rnacentral:rRNA from 1 species
GACGUAGGGGCAAGCGUUGUUCGGAAUUACUGGGCGUAAAGGGCUCGUAGGCGGCCAACUAAGUCAGACGUGAAAUCCCUCGGCUUAACCGGGGAACUGCGUCUGAUACUGGAUGGCUUGAAUCCGGGAGAGGGAUGCGGAAUUCCAGGUGUAGCGGUGAAAUGCGUAGAUAUCCGGAGGAACACCGGUGGCGAAGGCGGCUUCCUGGACCGACACUGACGCUGAGGCGCGAAAGCUAGGGGAGCAAACGGG